UUAGCAAUUUUCUUUGGUUUUGCAUCAUAAAUAUCUUCACACAGGUAAGGCAAUAGUUUGUACUCUUGUUUAAGAAAACAAGCUCAGCAAUGAUGUAUGAAGAAACUUUUCUUGCUUGUUUCCUUCUGACGUGUGUGCUUUUUCUUCUUUCCAGCAGCAAGAAGACUUCCUUGAGUGAUGGGUUCGUUCAGGACAUCUCGGAGGAAUGGUGCUUGUGGUGGAGCUCAUUGGAAUCUGGUGCUGCGUUUAGCUGUUAUUACUGACAUCAGCAGAAAAUCUCUGGUUGUCCUCCAAGCUGCAAGUCCACCAGGUAAGAGAGCACAAGCAAUGGUGAUGGGUUUUUGCAGCCUCUUGAGUCAGGAGAAGCCCGUUAGCAUUCAGAAAGCUGAACUUGGGAGGUACUGGCCCCAAGAGGUGACACAAGGAGGUGGUGCUAUGCUUGAGAUGCUUGUUGAGCAAUGAAUUUGAGUGACCCAGCUCUGUUCUUGGCUGCUGGGUUUGGUUUUUGGUGGUCAAAUAGCACUCAGAAGGGACUUGCCAAGACAGCGUGGGUUGUAAGAGCAGACUGGGAAAGAGAUUGAGAGGGAAGAAUUUCUAACAGGACAGCCUGGGAGUCCAGGGAAAACAGACUGAGGUGUAGGGAUGAGAAAUGGAUACAGGAGCAGUGGGAAUGGGCAGAAAUAGGGAAAACUGAGAAGUCCAAGUAGAGAAAAGUGCAUGCCUGUAUAAACUUGCAUAGAUGCAAGUGUGGAUAAACAGGGAAAUACAGGCAUUUGUGACCACCUCCAUAGCACAUUAUACCGUUGUUACAACCUUCAAAACCAUACUGCCUACCUCUCCUUAUUCUUCUGAAAAUUAUUGUUUCAUGACAAAGCUGCAGUCCUGCAAAAGCUCCUGAUAUAUGAUUCAUGUAAGUACAGGAUUCUGUGCUUUUUUUUUCCCUCACAGAUCUUCCUGGAGUACUCUGGGGAGAUCCAUUUAUCAGGUGCAAAGCAAAGUUUUGUUUUUUCCCUCUCCUCCUCGACAAAAAGCUAUCACAAGGUGCCAGUGUUCAGAGCAGCGCUACAGUCUGAACGUGCGCAGGACCCCAUUGUACUGCCAUAUUCCUGUCAGAUUUUCCCAGGAGUGACAAACUGCUGCCGCCUUCAUCUCCGCACGUGUGUAAUAUUAACAGCCUAUUUGUUGACCCUCACAGUUUCUUUACAAGUGUCUCGGUGGAAUUGAAGCAAUGCACACAUUUUUUCCGGGAGAAAUAAAAGAUGGGUGACUUAAUGGAGAAAUCCA
rnacentral:lncRNA from 1 species